UGCGUAGGUGGUUUCUUAAGUCAGAGGUGAAAGGCUACGGCUCAACCGCAGUAAGCCUUUGAAACUGGGAAACUUGAGUGCAGGAGAGGAGAGUGGAAUUCCUAGUGUAGCGGUGAAAUGCGUAGAUAUUAGGAGGAACACCAGUUGCGAAGGCGGCUCUCUGGACUGUAACUGACACUGAGGCACGAAAGCGUGGGGAGCAAACAG
rnacentral:rRNA from 1 species